GAGAGGUGGCCGAGUGGUUUAAGGCGCACGCCUGGAAAGUGUGUAUAUGUUAAUAGCGUAUCGAGGGUUCGAAUCCCUUCCUCUC
rnacentral:tRNA from 1 species